rnacentral:lncRNA from 1 species
UUUGGUGCUGCUGAGAUUAUUCCACUGAUGGGGAUGGUCCAUGGCUGUUAUGUGACCAUCUGCACUACAUGACCAUCAUGAAUCAAUAUAGGUGUAGCCAUCUCACUGGAAUGGCAUGUACUGGAAGCUUUAUCCAGGCACAGUUUAGAUCCUCUCCCCAGUCUGACUUCCUUUCUAUGAUCCCAAUGUCAUAGCUCAUUCAUGUGUGACUUAAACACUUUGUUGAAACUCCUCUGCAUGGGUACUACUAAUACACUUGGUUUCUUUGUUGCUGCCAAUGGUGGGUUCAACUACCUAUUAAACAUCAUUUUCUUGAUGGUUUCUUAAGUGGCCAUCCUAUGUACUUUGAAAACUCACAGCUUGGAGGAAAGAUGCUAAAGCCCUCUCUACCUGCAUCUCUCACACCACCGUGGUCAUCUUAUCUUUGGGUUCUGUAUAUCUGUGUAUCUGUGCCCAGUGACCC